UGGUAUUUCUAAAAGGAGAACAACAGUGUGGUCAGUUAGACAUGCUGUGCUAUGGUGUCUUGUUGAUCCUUGCUUUUUUGUUUGAUUAUGAACACAGGGCUCACGAGCAGCUAAACGUGAAACAUGAACCGCUCCAGCUCAUCCAGCCUCAGUUUGAGACGCCACUGCCAACCCUUCAGCCUGCGGUUUUUCCUCCCAGUUUCCGGGAGUUACCACCACCUCCUCUGGAGCUAUUUGACUUAGAUGAAACGUUCUCCUCUGAGAAGGCACGGCUUGCUCAGAUUACCAA